rnacentral:tRNA from 1 species
GUCCUCGUGGUUUAAUGGAUAGAACGCUGGCCUCCGAAGCCGGAAAUGCGAGUUCGAUUCUCGCCGAGGACA